rnacentral:rRNA from 1 species
CGUAGGCAGCAAGCGUUGUUCGGAGUUACUGGGCGUAAAGAGUGCGUAGGCGGUCCCUUAAGUUUGGUGUGAAAUCUCCCGGCUCAACUGGGAGGGUGCGACCGAAAACUGGGGGGCUUGAGUGUCGGAGAGGUACGCGGAAUUCCUGGUGUAGCGGUGAAAUGCGUAGAUAUCAGGAGGAACACCUGUGGUGUAGACAGCGUACUGGACGAUAACUGACGCUGAGGCACGAAAGCGUGGGUAGCAAACAGGAUUAGAUACCCUGGUAGUCCACGCCCUAAACGAUGCAUACUUGGUGUGGGCCAUUCAUUUGGUCUGUGCCGGAGCUAACGCGUUAAGUAUGCCGCCUGGGGAGUACGGUCGCAAGGCUG